AAGAACCCCGGCGAGGGGAGUGAAAAAGAACCUGAAACCGUGUACGUACAAGCAGUGGGAGCCCCACCACCAAAGCAUUCUCUGGUGUUGAAGGCCCUGCAAAGCAGCAUCGCGGUGGCGGAGCGUCGUUUGCGACGCCCAACACACAAAACAAGCGGUGAAUGCUUUGGGGUGGGGUGACUGCGUACCUUUUGUAUAAUGGGUCAGCGACUUAUAUUCUGUAGCAAGGUUAACCGAAUA
rnacentral:rRNA from 1 species